CUUUGUGUAUGUGUCUGUCUGUACUGUAUGAUCAAUGUGUAUUUGGCGUGUGUUUCAGUGAUGAAGUUCAAGCGCAAGCCGUGCUUCAUGGAGUUUGCUGUGCUGCUGCUCCAGAGGACCAUGCAGGCAGACCAUCUAGAGCUGGUCCUGCAGUGGGGACACGACAUAUUUGGCUGGCUUAGCAGGAGGGAUGAGGGACUGACAGGGCCUAAGAAGGGCCCAGGGGACAGAUCAACCUCAGGGAAAGAACUGAAGAAGUUCUCCUCCUCCAUCAUGGAGUACAAGGUGAGCUCAGCUAAAAUCUUUCCCUUCCCUUUUCUUUUCUGUCCCUCCCAUGAAGCUAUUGCAGAAGUGUAAUUAAAUAAGUCUGACAGCCAUUUGUUGUCCCCUUUAGAAGAAUAAAGCUAGUACAUUCGGGAGUGACAAGAAGAGGAAAGAGUUUCUCCAGAAGAAACAACUGACUGCUCUGAAAGCACAGAACACAGAGAGGUGGGUACAGUACUUUUACAGCAACUGUAAAACUCUCUUUGUGCUACUCUCUUUGUGCUUAUGACUAAUUACUGUUAAACUUUUACCCCAAUUGCAUGAGUGUGUGCGGAUGUGGGCUUAUGCAAGUGUACAUGUGUGUCCUUACCUGCAUGUAUGCUCCACUCACAUCUGUGUGUCAGGGAGUGUAAGGCGGUGGACACCAUGCUGAACCAGCUAGCCCCCCUGGUGCGCCGUCACCAGCGUCGGAGGCGUCUGAGACAGGUGUGUUCUGAGGAGUGGCUGUGGAGGUGUCACCUCAACCUUAGCAUCGCCAGGGCUCACCUGGGACUACUGAGAAGGAGCCUGGAGAACCACCAGGGCCUUGGGGCCCUACAACACAGGUAAAUAUAGACACAAACACACGCAUGCAUACAUACACAUAUACACACACACAUACAGAUCACUGUUUCCCACAUAUACAUACUGUACCCUUGUCACGCUAUCAUUCCCUCCAGAUUGUACUGUGCUGGCUCAGAUGUUUUCUUUUCACAAUCACUGUCCUUUCCAGCACGAUUCUCUAAGAGUGUAGCUAAAAGUGAGCUGAGCUAGCCCUAUAACGUAUCUGGUGCCAGCUCACUUUCAAGCGAGCAUAGGAGAAUAGUUAGCUACAUUUCUGUGUUUUAUUGAUCGUACAUAUAUGAACAUUAUUUUUGUGUACAUUUUACAUUUUAGAACAAAGACAAUAGACCAUGAUGACAUUUUUGUUCUUGUAGCUACAGCCAGCUGCCUCCGUUGUUGUUCUCCCUGGCCCACUCUGGUACUCUGGUGAGGGGGAGGAACAUGCAUCAGCACAUCGGAGUCCCUGACCUGAUUCCCCCGCCCCCCAAAGCCACGCCCCAGCCCUGCUUCAGAGCCAUCCUCCACAAGGCCAAGGAGAGCGGACAGGGUAAGGAAAUAACUAACUAAACUAGCUAACUAUCCUCAACACUCUUUCUCUCCCUGUCUUUCUUUUUUUCUCUUUUGCUGUCUAUAUCUCUCUCACUCUCUCUCUCCCUAUCUCUCUUUUUUUUUGACCCAUCACCAGAGGGGGCAGACAUCAGAGGACAAGAACAUUCUUCCUAUCUUUUACUCUUUCUCUCUCUCCACCCUUCAGCUGCCACCACCACCAGUGGAGAGGACUUCAACACGACAGAGAGCAGUGAGCAGGACAGUGAGCAGGACUCUCCUCGUACGCAGCCAGCUGUGGACUCGGACUAUAGUGAGCCCUCAGUGAUGACCACCUCCCCGACCAGACGCACCGCCACUCAGCUGCUAGAGUCACUCAACAAGGCUGCCCUGCACCUCCGCAGAGCCAUGGUACCUGAUAUACACACACAAACAGACACGGAUGCAUAUACACACAAACACAUACAAACAG
ensembl:lncRNA